UACGUAGGGUGCAAGCGUUGUCCGGAAUCAUUGGGCGUAAAGAGCGUGUAGGCGGCCCGGUAAGUCCGCUGUGAAAGUCGAGGGCUCAACCCUCGAAUGCCGGCGGAUACUGUCGGGCUAGAGUCCGGAAGAGGCGAGUGGAAUUCCUGGUGGUAGCGGUGAAAUGCGUAGAGAUCCGGAGGAACCCCAGAGGCGAAGGCGGCGCCUGGCUCGGCAACUGACGCUCGACACGACAGCAUGGGGGAGCGAACGGGAU
rnacentral:rRNA from 1 species